rnacentral:SRP_RNA from 1 species
GCUGGGCGUGUUGGCGCAUGCCUGUAAUCCCAGCAACUUGGGAGGCGGAGACUGGAGGAUCAUGAGUUCAAAGCCACCUCAGCAAAAAUAAGUGAGGUGCUAAGCAGCUCAGUGAGACCCUGUCUCAA